rnacentral:misc_RNA from 1 species
AACAAGGCGUACCUGCGGACCUGCGGAGGGAUCAUUAACGAGUUAGGGUCGUUCUGGCCCGAACUUCCAACCCCUUGUUUAUCACACCAUGUUGCUUUGGUAGGCCCGCUCUCUUAGGGGGGCCGCCGGAGGUUAUCCUACCUCUAGCCCGUGCCUGCCAGUAGCCUUAUUAAAUUCUUUUUAACUGUGUCGUCUGAGUGGUAUUUUCAAAUCAUUUAAAACUUUUAACAAUGGAUCUCA